CCUACGGGAGGCAGCAGUGGGGGAUAUUGCACAAUGGGGGGAACCCUGAUGCAGCGACGCCGCGUGGGUGAAGAAGCGCCUCGGCGCGUAAAGCCCUGUCAGCAGGGAAGAAAAUGACGGUACCUGAAGAAGAAGCCCCGGCUAACUACGUGCCAGCAGCCGCGGUAAUACGUAGGGGACAAGCGUUAUCCGGAUUUACUGGGUGUAAAGGGGGCGCAGACGGCGAUGCAAGCCAGGAGUGAAAGUCCGGGGCCCAACCCCGGGACUGCUCUUGGAACUGCGUGGCUAGAGUGCAGGAGGGGCAGGCGGAAUUCCUCGUGUAGCGGUGAAAUGCGUAGAUAUCAGGAGGAACACCGGUGGCGAAGGCGGCCUGCUGGACUGCAACUGACGUUGAGGCCCGAAAGCGUGGGGAGCAAACAGGAUUAGAUACCCGGGUAGUC
rnacentral:rRNA from 1 species